AUUGAACGCUGGCGGCAUGCCUUACACAUGCAAGUCGAACGGCAGCACGGGAGCUUGCUCCUGGUGGCGAGUGGCGAACGGGUGAGUAAUACAUCGGAACGUACCCUGAAGUGGGGGAUAACGUAGCGAAAGUUACGCUAAUACCGCAUAUUCUGUGAGCAGGAAAGAGGGGGAUCGCAAGACCUCUUGCUUUAGGAGCGGCCGAUGUCGGAUUAGCUAAUUGGUGAGGUAAAGGCUCACCAAGGCGACGAUCCGUAGCGGGUCUGAGAGGAUGAUCCGCCACACUGGGACUGAGACACGGCCCAGACUCCUACGGGAGGCAGCAGUGGGGAAUUUUGGACAAUGGGCGCAAGCCUGAUCCAGCCAUGCCGCGUGAGUGAAGAAGGCCU
rnacentral:rRNA from 1 species